CCUACGGGAGGCAGCAGUGAGGAAUAUUGGUCAAUGGACGCAAGUCUGAACCAGCCAUGUCGCGUGCAGGAAGACGGCCCUAUGAGUUGUAAACUGCUUUUGUACGAGGGUAAACGCAGAUACGCGUAUCUGUCUGAAAGUAUCGUACGAAUAAGGAUCGGCUAACUCCGUGCCAGCAGCCGCGGUAAUACGGAGGAUUCAAGCGUUAUCCGGAUUUAUUGGGUUUAAAGGGUGCGUAGGCGGUCGGAUAAGUUAGAGGUGAAAUCCCGAGGCUCAACCUCGGAAUUGCCUCUGAUACUGUUCGUCUAGAGAGUAGUUGCGGUAGGCGGAAUGUGUGGUGUAGCGGUGAAAUGCAUAGAGAUCAUACAGAACACCGAUUGCGAAGGCAGCUGACCAGGCUACUUCUGACGUUGAGGCACGAAAGCGUGGGGAGCAAACAGGAUUAGAUACCCGUGUAGUC
rnacentral:rRNA from 1 species